AAUGGAGAAAUAAUGAGUUUGUUCCACAGCAAGUUGGGUAAUGGAGUUUAUUCCUCAUGAUGUUUCAGGAUUUGGGACACAUCUAUCCUGGUGCCCACAGAAUCAAGAAGCAAGAAGUCUGGACCACAAAGGCAAUAGUGUAAAACUUGAACAACUCCAUGGAACCCACACAAAGUGCCAUGAGAGAGACUGAAAGUGCUCGCAAGAAGCAGAGAAGAGUCAG
rnacentral:lncRNA from 1 species